rnacentral:rRNA from 1 species
GACGAACGCUGGCGGCGUGCUUAACACAUGCAAGUCGAACGGAAAGGCCCUGCUUUUGUGGGGUGCUCGAGUGGCGAACGGGUGAGUAACACGUGAGUAACCUGCCCUUGACUUUGGGAUAACUUCAGGAAACUGGGGCUAAUACCGGAUAGGAGCUCCUGCUGCAUGGUGGGGGUUGGAAAGUUUCGGCGGUUGGGGAUGGACUCGCGGCUUAUCAGCUUGUUGGUGGGGUAGUGGCUUACCAAGGCUUUGACGGGUAGCCGGCCUGAGAGGGUGGCCGGCCACGUUGGGGCCGAGGAGCGGCCGCCACCCCUCCGGGUGCAAGGGGUGGGGAUUUUACCGAAUCGGGCGGAGGCGGCGUAAGGCAGCGCCGGAGGGGGGAUGAGGGCUUCGGGGGUAUAAGCCGCUUUUGCCCAUGACCCGGCAGCAGUCCCGGUAGUUGUAAAAAGAGAACCGGCAAACGUCGU